rnacentral:misc_RNA from 1 species
UUGAGUUUCAUACGUUUAGUAAAUU